GCAUAUCAAUAAGCGGAGGAAAAGAAACCAACAGGGAUUGCCCUAGUAACGGCGAGUGAAGCGGCAACAGCUCAAAUUUGAAAUCUGGCGCAAGCCCGAGUUGUAAUUUGUAGAGGAUGCUUCUGGGCAGCGGCCGUUCUAAGUUCCUUGGAACAGGACGUCAUAGAGGGUGAGAAUCCCGUAUGUGACCGGCACGUACCCUCCACGUAGCUCCUUCGACGAGUCGAGUUGUUUGGGAAUGCAGCUCUAAAUGGGAGGUAAAUUUCUUCUAAAGCUAAAUACCGGCCAGAGACCGAUAGCGCACAAGUAGAGUGAUCGAAAGAUGAAAAGCACUUUGGAAAGAGAGUUAAAAAGCACGUGAAAUUGUUGAAAGGGAAGCGCUUACAACCAGACUUCGUGGCGGUGUUCCGCCGGUCUUCUGACCGGUCUACUCGCCGCCGCGAGGCCAGCAUCGUCUGGGGCCGCCGGAUAAGACCUUGGGAAUGUAGCUUGCCUCGGUAAGUGUUAUAGCCCAUGGUGAUGCGGCGUGCCUCGGGCGAGGUCCGCGCUUCGGCAAGGAUGCUGGCGUAAUGGUUGUCAGCGGCCCGUCUUGAAACACGGACCAAGGAGUCUAACAUCUAUGCGAGUGUUCGGGUGUCAAACCCCUACGCGUAAUGAAAGUGAACGGAGGUGGGAAGCGCAAGCUGCACCAUCGACCGAUCCUGAUGUCCUCGGAUGGAUUUGAGUAAGAGCAUAGCUGUUGGGACCCGAAAGAUGGUGAACUAUGCCUGAAUAGGGUGAAGCCAGAGGAAACUCUGGUGGAGGCUCGCAGCGGUUCUGACGUGCAAAUCGAUCGUCAAAUUUGGGUAUAGGGGCGAAAGACUGAUCGAACCAUCUAGUAGCUGGUUCCUGC
rnacentral:rRNA from 1 species